GCAUGGUUGGUUUAGUGGCAUAAUUACCGCCUGCCACAAUGUGCGCGGUAGACCCGGGUUCGAUUCCCGGACCAUGCA